UACGGAGGGGGCUAGCGUUGUUCGGAAUUACUGGGCGUAAAGCGCACGUAGGCGGCUUUGUAAGUUAGAGGUGAAAGCCCGGGGCUCAACUCCGGAAUUGCCUUUAAGACUGCAUCGCUAGAAUUGUGGAGAGGUAAGUGGAAUUCCGAGUGUAGAGGUGAAAUUCGUAGAUAUUCGGAAGAACACCAGUGGCGAAGGCGACUUCCUGGACACAUAUUGACGCUGAGGUGCGAAAGCGUGGGGAGCAAACAGG
rnacentral:rRNA from 1 species